GACGAACGCUGGCGGCGUGCCUAAUACAUGCAAGUUGAGCGAUGAAGCUUGGUGCUUGCACCCAUUUGAAGAGCAGCGAACGGGUGAGUAACGCGUGGGGAAUCUGCCUUUGAGCGGGGGACAACAUUUGGAAACGAAUGCUAAUACCGCAUAAUAACUUUAAACAUAAGUUUUAAGUUUGAAAGAUGCAAUUGCAUCACUCAAAGAUGAUCCCGCGUUGUAUUAGCUAGUUGGUGAGGUAAAGGCUCACCAAGGCGAUGAUACAUAGCCGACCUGAGAGGGUGAUCGGCCACAUUGGGACUGAGACACGGCCCAAACUCCUACGGGAGGCAGCAGUAGGGAAUCUUCGGCAAUGGACGAAAGUCUGACCGAGCAACGCCGCGUGAGUGAAGAAGGUUUUCGGAUCGUAAAACUCUGUUGGUAGAGAAGAACGUUGGUGAGAGUGGAAAGCUCAUCAAGUGACGGUAACUACCCAGAAAGGGACGGCUAACUACGUG
rnacentral:rRNA from 1 species